UGGGGAAUAUUGGACAAUGGGCGGAAGCCUGAUCCAGCCAUGCCGCGUGUGUGAAGAAGGCCUUUUGGUUGUAAAGCACUUUAAGCGAGGAGGAGGCUACUUGGAUUAAUACUCUAGGAUAGUGGACGUUACUCGCAGAAUAAGCACCGGCUAACUCUGUGCCAGCAGCCGCGGUAAUACAGAGGGUGCGAGCGUUAAUCGGAUUUACUGGGCGUAAAGCGUGCUUAGGCGGCUUCUUAAGUCGGAUGUGAAAUCCCUGAGCUUAACUUAGGAAUUGCAUUCGAUACUGGGAAGCUAGAGUAUGGGAGAGGAUGGUAGAAUUCCAGGUGUAGCGGUGAAAUGCGUAGAGAUCUGGAGGAAUACCGAUGGCGAAGGCAGCCAUCUGGCCUAAUACUGACGCUGAGGUACGAAAGCAUGGGGAGCAAACAGG
rnacentral:rRNA from 1 species